GACGAACGCUGGCGGCGUGCUUAACACAUGCAAGUCGAACGGAAAGGCCCUGCUUUUGUGGGGUGCUCGAGUGGCGAACGGGUGAGUAACACGUGAGUAACCUGCCCUUGACUUUGGGAUAACUUCAGGAAACUGGGGCUAAUACCGGAUAGGAGCUCCUGCUGCAUGGUGGGGGUUGGAAAGUUUCGGCGGUUGGGGAUGGACUCGCGGCUUAUCAGCUUGUUGGUUGGGUAGUGGCUUACCAAGGCUUUGACGGGUAGCCGGCCUGUGAGGGUGACCGGCCACAUUGGGACUGAGAUACGGCACAGACUCCUACGGGAGGCAGCAGUGGGGAAUAUUGCACAAUGGGCGGAAGCCUGAUGCAGCAACGCCGCGUGCGGGAUGACGGCCUUCGGGUUGUAAACCGCUUUCGCCUGUGACGAAGCGUGAGUGACGGUAAUGGGUAAAGAAGCACCGGCUAACUACGUG
rnacentral:rRNA from 1 species